rnacentral:tRNA from 1 species
GCGGGCAUGGCGGAACGGCAGACGCGCCGGAUUUAGAAUCCGGCGGUAUAUCCGUGCAGGUUCGAGUCCUGUUGCCCGCA